GGGUUGUGAGGUUAAGCGACUAAGCGUACACGGUGGAUGCCCUGGCAGUCAGAGGCGAUGAAGGACGUGCUAAUCUGCGAUAAGCGCCGGUAAGGUGAUAUGAACCGUUAUAACCGGCGAUUUCCGAAUGGGGAAACCCAGUGUGACUCGUCACACUAUCAUUAACUGAAUCCAUAGGUUAAUGAGGCGAACCGGGGGAACUGAAACAUCUAAGUACCCCGAGGAAAAGAAAUCAACCGAGAUUCCCCCAGUAGCGGCGAGCGAACGGGGAGGAGCCCAGAGCCUGAAUCAGCAUGUGUGUUAGUGGAAGCGUCUGGAAAGGCGCGCGAUACAGGGUGACAGCCCCGUACACAAAAGCGCAUGUGUUGUGAGCUCGAUGAGUAGGGCGGGACACGUGGUAUCCUGUCUGAAUAUGGGGGGACCAUCCUCCAAGGCUAAAUACUCCUGACUGACCGAUAGUGAACCAGUACCGUGAGGGAAAGGCGAAAAGAACCCCGGCGAGGGGAGUGAAAAAGAACCUGAAACCGUGUACGUACAA
rnacentral:rRNA from 1 species